GUGCUUGCUUCAAUAGCACAUAUACUAAAAUUGGAAUGAUAACAGAAGAUUAGUAUGGCCCCUGUACAGGGAUGACAUGCAAAUCGGUGAAGUGUUUCAUAAAAGA